AACCUGCCGCAGGUUCGGGUCUCACGUAGUGAGACAACGGAGCCGCUUGCGGCGACGGCCCGAAGGGCGAGCAAAGCGAGUCAUCCUGCACGACCCACCA
rnacentral:sRNA from 4 species